rnacentral:rRNA from 1 species
AGAGUUUGAUCCUGGCUCAGAGCGAACGCUGGCGGCAGGCCUAACACAUGCAAGUCGAACGAACUCUUCGGAGUUAGUGGCGGACGGGUGAGUAACACGUGGGAACGUGCCUUUAGGUUCGGAAUAGCUCCUGGAAACGGGUGGUAAUGCCGAAUGUGCCCUUCGGGGGAAAGAUUUAUCGCCUUUAGAGCGGCCCGCGUCUGAUUAGCUAGUUGGUGAGGUAAUGGCCCACCAAGGCUACGAUCAGUAGCUGGUCUGAGAGGAUGACCAGCCACAUUGGGACUGAGACACGGCCCAAACUCCUACGGGAGGCAGCAGUGGGGAAUCUUGCGCAAUGGGCGAAAGCCUGACGCAGCCAUGCCGCGUGUAUGAUGAAGGUCUUAGGAUUGUAAAAUACUUUCACCGGUGAAGAUAAUGACUGUAGCCGGAGAAGAAGCCCCGGCUAACUUCGUGCCAGCAGCCGCGGUAAUACGAAGGGGGCUAGCGUUGCUCGGAAUUACUGGGCGUAAAGGGCGCGUAGGCGGACAUUUAAGUCAGAGGUGAAAGCCCAGGGCUCAACCUUGGAAUUGCCUUUGAUACUGGAUGUCUUGAGUUCGGGAGAGGUGAGUGGAAUGCCGAGUGUAGAGGUGAAAUUCGUAGAUAUUCGGCGGAACACCAGUGGCGAAGGCGACUCACUGGCCCGAUACUGACGCUGAGGCGCGAAAGCGUGGGGAGCAAACAGGAUUAGAUACCCUGGUAGUCCAA